rnacentral:rRNA from 1 species
GAUGAACGCUGGCGGCGUGCCUAAUACAUGCAAGUCGAGCGAACAGACGAGGAGCUUGCUCCUCUGACGUUAGCGGCGGACGGGUGAGUAACACGUGGAUAACCUACCUAUAAGACUGGGAUAACUUCGGGAAACCGGAGCUAAUACCGGAUAAUAUAUUGAACCGCAUGGUUCAAUAGUGAAAGACGGUUUUGCUGUUACUUAUAGAUGGAUCCGCGCCGCAUUAGCUAGUUGGUAAGGUAACGGCUUACCAAGGCGACGAUGCGUAGCCGACCUGAGAGGGUGAUCGGCCACACUGGAACUGAGACACGGUCCAGACACCUACGGGAGGCAGCAGUAGGGAAUCUUCCGCAAUGGGCGAAAGCCUGACGGAGCAACGCCGCGUGAGUGAUGAAGGUCUUCGGAUCGUAAAACUCUGUUAUUAGGGAAGAACAAAUGUGUAAGUAACUAUGCACGUCUUGACGGUACCUAAUCAGAAAGCCACGGCUAACUACGUG